rnacentral:rRNA from 1 species
AACACGUGUGUAGCCCCGGACGUAAGGGCCGUGCUGAUUUGACGUCAUCCCCACCUUCCUCACAUCUUACGACGGCAGUCUCUCUAGAGUCCUCAGCAUCACCUGUUAGUAACUAAAGAUAAGGGUUGCGCUCGUUAUGGCACUUAAGCCGACACCUCACGGCACGAGCUGACGACAACCAUGCAGCACCUUCACAACAGCCUUACGGCUAUACUGUUUCCAAUAUAUUCUGUUGCAAUUUAAGCCCGGGUAAGGUUCCUCGCGUAUCAUCGAAUUAAACCACAUGUUCCUCCGCUUGUGCGGGCCCCCGUCAAUUCCUUUGAGUUUCACCGUUGCCGGCGUACUCCCCAGGUGGAAUACUUAAUGCUUUCGCUUGGCCGCUUACUGUAUAUCGCAAACAGCGAGUAUUCAUCGUUUACUGUGUGGACUACCAGGGUAUCUAAUCCUGUUUGAUACCCACACUUUCGAGCAUCAGUGUCAGUAACAGUCUAGUGAGCUGCCUUCGCAAUCGGAGUUCUUCGUGAUAUCUAAGCAUUUCACCGCUACACCACGAAUUCCGCCCACCUCUACUGUACUCAAGACUGCCAGUUUCAACUGCAAUUUUACGGUUGAGCCGCAAACUUUCACAACUGACUUAACAAUCCACCUACGCUCCCUUUAAACCCAAUAAAUCCGGAUAACGCUCGGAUCCUCCGUAUUACCGCGGCUGCUGGCACGGAGUUAGCCGAUCCUUAUUCAUAUGGUACAUACAAAAUUCCACACGUGGAAAACUUUAUUCCCAUAUAAAAGAAGUUUACGACCCAUAGAGCCUUCAUCCUUCACGCUACUUGGCUGGUUCAGGCUCUCGCCCAUUGACCAAUAUUCCUCACUGCUGCCUCCCGUAGGAGUUUGGACCGUGUCUCAGUUCCAAUGUGGGGGACCUUCCUCUCAGAACCCCUAUCCAUCGUAGUCUUGGUGGGCCGUUACCCCGCCAACAAACUAAUGGAACGCAUCCCCA